rnacentral:rRNA from 1 species
UACGUAGGUGGCAAGCGUUGUCCGGAAUUAUUGGGCGUAAAGCGCGCGCAGGUGGUUCCUUAAGUCUGAUGUGGAAGCCCACGGCUCAACCGUGGAGGGUCAUUGGAAACUGGGGAACUUGAGUGCAGAAGAGGAAAGUGGAAUUCCAAGUGUAGCGGUGAAAUGCGUAGAUAUUGGGAAGAACACCAGUGGCGUAAGCGUCUUGCUGGGCUGUAACUGACGCUGAGGAACGAAAGCCAGGGUAGCGAAUGGG